GGGCUGGGCCGUGUUAUAGCUCGGGCACCGCCUCAGCGACGGACGGGGAUGGGCUUGAACGGUGCUGCAGCCCGGGCAUCGCCUCAGCGACGGACGGGGAUGGGCUUGAACGGUGCUGCAGCCCGGGCACCGCCUCAGCGACGGACGGGGAUGGGCCUGAGCGGUUUUGCAGCCCGGGCACCGCCUCAGCCACGGACGGCGAUGGGCCUGACGGUGCUGGGCCUGAGCGGGGUUACAGCCCGGGCACCGCCUCAGCGACGGACGGUGAUGGCCGAAAAGACUACUUGGAAGUGAAACGCCCUAGAUUGGUGUCUACCGAGCAGGUGUUUGUUUAUUGCAGCGCUGGAGGCCAGGAGGAUUUCUCCACCUCACUCACUCACCCUUUUCGAGUGCUGUGGUUUAUUUAUACACUGGAUUGAAGGCCAGAGGAAUGCCCUGGAGCAGGGAACCCUCCCAGGGUCUGGGAUCCAUUACCUGAGCAGAGAUCCCUUACUCACAGCAGAUCCUUGAGAUCUUAUCCUUUCCACAUGAAAAUGCAAUCAGUGGUGUGAAGAGGACCAUCACUAUAAAUCAAUGAAUUAAUUAAAGACCCCCAUACUUGAAGGACUUUUAGGGUACCUACAUUGUACAGUUCAAAUAACAUUACACAAAAUGAAUUGUUUUCUUAAAAUUACAUACCUGACUUGAUUUCAGAAAAUUUCAUAGCAACUGAGAGGUUAGAACGGGACAUCAACUCAGAAAUCUUCUUCCAAUCAUUGCCAUGCAGAGCUUGAUACUUCUUUAAUUGUUCUUUUUCUUCUGUAGUAUACCUGGUUGAGGAAAUGGGCACAGCUUCAGCUGUAAUUUCAAGCCAUUUCAAUCUCUUAAAUAGCUGUAACAUCUGCAGGUCAUCAGUGUUAAUCAUCACUAUCACUUCAAGUCAUAUUUUAGAAAAGAGGAAUCAAAAAGGGAAAAUGAGUUAUCAAUCAAGUCACAGUAACUGGCACAAGUGGGAGAGGAUCUUCAUUUGAAUCCAUUUUUAAUUUACAGAUAAUCAACACAGACUGAUAUUAGCAUUCCGAAACACUUGUAAAGUAUUCCCUUACCUUCCUUUAUAAUUAUUUGGGUCAAACAUCUUCCUUGCUCGAUAAUAUAUCAGCCUCCAGGGCCGGGGUAUGCCCUCAGCUGGAAGGCAAAGGAUCAUUUUUAACAAACAUUUCCAACAGUGGUGAGGCCCAAAUGAAACAAACCCCAAAAACCCAACACCACACGUUUUCAUGGCCAUGCUGUCAUCAACAGAUCCUUUCCACUCACCAGCUACAAACUGCAUGGACUGGCUGUGCAUUUGAUCCAGGUGUGACUAAAAUUUAACUGGCAUGCUGAACACUCCCACUGAAGAGAGACAUGAGACAGCCACCAGGCAGGAGCUGAGGAGACCCUGGGUGCUCACAGACUGUUCCAACUGGGAAAAGCAGGCACUGGGGGCAUCAGCAAAAACCAAGUGAAGAUCUCUGCUGCAGGAAGAUCACCAGAGACCAAGCCCUGGGAACACACAACCACCUUGGGCAGCAGAGGGGACUGCAAGGCCCAGAACACUGAUGAGACUUUCUGCCAAAUCUUCCCAGCUCGGGAGCAAACUCCCAGACUGGAAUGAAAGUCACCAUCAGGGAAAUGUGCCAAUGCAGAGGGAAGGACUGUGUGUCUGAAAGAGGAACAAAUCUGUAGUUUGAUCCCAGCAUCCUGAUCCAUGACAGGCUGUCCUUGACUCUCCCUUGCCUCAGAUGUCACCAAACACAAAGAAUAAAACUCCUGGUGCACUGAGGAGAUCCCCAGCUCUUGGAAGACUGGCAUGACUCAAGUUUCUUCCACACCCCCCCAGUCCUGCACCUGACACCUAUUUAUUGGUGACAGUUUCAGACAGGAUUUAAUCACUCACAGCUGCCAUUAGUAAUCUUAAUUGCAGUUUAGCAAAUAAUGCACUUAAAGCCCAAAGCAAGUCUGGAAGUCUUUACUGGUCUUGACCAUAUUUCAUCUCCAAACUCUUCCUAUUUGAGACCAGAUACUAGGAACAGUGGACUGUGCAGAUUAUCAACUACACCAUGUCAGCAGCUUCUUUUCUUACCAAAUUUAGCAACAUCAGUGCUUGUCCAUAAAAAAUAUUUUACAGAAUAUGCCAUGAUAUCACCAGGUUCUAGAAUGCACCAUUCAGCUGUCUGAAUAACUUAAAUACUCACAGAUUUUUUCACAAAAUUGAUGUUCUGUUUUCAGGCGAUGGAUGAUGUAUUUAUCGUUUGGAUACCUCGAGGUAAACAGAAGUUUUUCAGCACUGUCUAUUCCAGUAAGGUCUAAGAACUCUUCAACAUUUUUCCUGAUUUGUUUAUUUUCCUUCUGGGUAAAUCUGCCAAACUUGACAGCUAUACCUAAAAUACAGAAAGGUUAAAAAAAACCCAAGUCAAACCUCAAGUACCUCUCUUGCCCAUCUCAGGUAUCAACAAAUUCAGAGGGAAAAAGAGAAAACUGAAAGAAACCAAACCAGCUGGGAAUCAGCAAUUAACACACGAGUUUGGACUGAAAUUUGCCAAUAUGGAAGCAGAUGCUACAAAACAGAGAAACAGAAAAUCUGCCAAUGGAAUGAAGUGAAGCAGACUGUGGGUGCAACAGACACGACACUGUCCAAAAAUCAGCACAGCUGCACAGCCUUUUCUCACUGCAACAAGAUUUCAGAGAGCUCACCCUGUUUUUUAAACUCCUUAAACCUCAUUAGGUCUCUUCCAGCCAUUUUCCUGACUGAACUGUCUGAUAUAUUCUUCACAUGAGGAAUAAACUCUUCCAGUUCUUGUCUUGCAGUAUCCAAAUCCACAAAUGAAGUCAUGGCAGGGUCCAGGCCUUCCUCACCAUCCACACUGACCUCAUCAAAGGCUGCCAGUUCAGCAAAGGAAUUGUUCUGCUGCUUUUCAUGUGAUGCCAAGGCUUUUGGUGUCCUGAUAUAGAACAAAAAAAAAGGCAUAAAAUAAAAUACACCACUAGAACUCCAAACCAGAGAUGUUGUUACCAUCUUUGCCAUUAAAAGAAUUUAAAUAUUUGUCAAUUACAGAACAAAAAAUACUUCACACAUCCAUUGCCUUGCAUUUCUAACCUUUUAACAUAAUAAUUGUAAUUUAUUUCCAAAUUUCUAUACUUACAAUAAUCAAGGAGCUUUCUGAAGUUCUGAAAAUCCACAAAACUCUCACACAUGGGCAUACUGAAGAAAUAAUCUCUUGCUAGUACUGGCCCACAGAUUUUUUCCAUCUGUCUCUUACUAGUGCUCCUGUUUUGUUUUCUAGACACUGCAAAGGCAUCAAGAACUACUUACACGAGCAUUUAUUUGCACACAACAUUCAAUUGUUUAGCUGACCUUACUAGCUGCUUGGUUAAAAUGCACAUGGUCACUAUAAAUAUCAACUUUAACAAAUAAAAUUCUUCUCUUUUCGCUCCA